rnacentral:misc_RNA from 1 species
AUUCGAUCAAUCGACAGUUCGUGGAUUCAGCUGAUCGAACGACUGGGUGGUGGUAGUUGCAAGGGGUGAAUAAUGGGCGUCUGAAACACACUAUGGACGGAAGGGUUAAGGAAAGAGCUUUAACAAUUACUAGGUUUAGCUUUCAUAUUUAUGAUAAGUGGAUCGAGAAUGUUUAUACAUUUAUCGGCAUUUGUGGAUGGGAGAGUGCUCGCAAUGUUUAACUACGUGAUAGAUAAAAAUGUCGGAAGUAUUAAAAGUGUAAUACUUAUUAUGAUAAUUAAUAGCGAGAGUAUGAAUUUUUUAAUCAAAUUAAGAAGAAGAAACGAAACAGGAAAUGUUAAACAUGCUGAAUUAAGAAGGAAUACGUAUAUGGAUUAUGAUCUUUAGACAUUCCACUUUCUGAUGAAUAGAAACUUCCAAGCUUCAUCUGUACUGUAGUGUUGUUACUCAUACUUGUUGUAGCAAUCUGGUGAAAUCUCCCCAAUGUUCUGUAAUCAAAUGUUCCAUAAAAUUCUCCAUGCAAAUUUUUGCAGAAUAUUUAAUAGGAAAUUUAAUAGGAAAUUGCCUCAUAAGAGUGUAUGCUAACGGCAUAAUUAUUCAAAGACACUAAUUAAACAAAAAUGAUUGUUCAGAAGUAAAGCUCCAAUUUUUGGAUUCUGUAUAAUAAAAAUAUCUUUGUCAAU